CCUACGGGUGGCAGCAGUGGGGAAUAUUGGGCAAUGGGCGCAAGCCUGACCCAGCAACGCCGCGUGAAGGAAGAAGGCUUUCGGGUUGUAAACUUCUUUUCGCAGGGACGAAGCAAGUUACGGUACCUGAGGUAUAAGCCACGGCUAACUACGUGCCAGCAGCCGCGGUAAGACGGAGGUGGCAGGCGUUAUCCGGAUGUACUGGGUGUAAAGGUCGUGUAGGCGGGGACGCAAGUCAGAUGUGAAAACCACGGGCUCAACAUGUGGCCUGCGUUUGAAACUGUGGUUCUUGUGUGCUGGAGCGGCAAGCGGAAUGCGGAGUGUAGCGGUGAAAUGCGUAGAUAU
rnacentral:rRNA from 1 species